ACAGAGGGGGCAAGCGUUGUUCGGAUUUACUGGGCGUAAAGGGCGCGUAGGCGGUUUCAAAAGUCAGAUGUGAAAUUUUUCCGCUCACCGGGAAAACUGCAUCUGAAACUCUGAGACUCGAGUUUGUGGGAAGGGAGUGGAAUUCUCGGUGUAGCGGUGAAAUGUGUAGAUAUCGAGAAGAGCACCAGUGGCGAAAGCGGCACUCUAUCAUAAAACUGUCUCUGAGGCGCGUAUGUUAGGGGAGCAAAAGG
rnacentral:rRNA from 1 species